AAGGGGGGAGGAGGAGGAGGAGGGCGUGGCGGCCGCAGAGGCAGUGGUAAGUCUGGCUCCCCAGGCUUCGUGUUUGUUUCCCCAUCCUUCCGCCAUGGGAUGAUGCAGCUCAAAGCCUUGCAGCAGCUGCAGCUCCCUGGUCCUGGAAUCCCUACUCUCCAAACCAUGAUCUAGAGACAUUUAUAAUAAAUUCUGUCCUAUCAACGGAAACUGGGCUGAAUGACUUACGGCCACCGUGCUGCUUCUGUGGCUCCUGGGUGUGCUGUUGACUCUGGGACUCAGUCAGGAACACCUCAGCCCUUGGCAGGGGCCGGGGAGGAGGACACGGUGAACCUUCCAUCAGCUCUUACAGUUUCUGCCUGGGACUUACAGGUGUCUGCUACUGGCCUCUCACUGGAUAAACAAGACUCUGUUACACCAAGAUGUAUCAAAUGCCAGCAUGGUUGCAUCUGCUGUCAACAGUCAUCUCCACUGGACACGUCCUCCAGUCCACCACUGGGCGAUCUUCUGCAACGGGGUCACUGCUCAACCUUCCGAUCGGAUCUUCUUUUUGCCCACCAGACUGUAGACUGUAAAACAUUCUCAGAUCUCUCCCCGUGCCAAUGACAGGACUGCUGGAGUACGUGACGGUGAGUUCGAGCCUUGCCUCCUCAUUUCCCCCAUUGCUGCCUGGGGAUGUGCGUAUUUCCUGCUGUCUAUCUGUUUCACUGGAACCCGAGAGGAAGAUGAGAAGUCACAGAGGAAGAGCUUCACGACGAGCUCGAAAAGAUGAAAUAGCAGGCAAUUUAAGAUCCUUUGAGUCUUCCUCAAUAAACAUACAAUUUUGCAGAUGUGAAA